rnacentral:piRNA from 1 species
UGGGAUUACAGCAGUCCGCCCAGCCACUGC